CUGAGCCGACGCGCGAGAGGUGAGUUGUUGCGGGUCCCGGGCUGCCGGAACCCGCAACGACUCACCUCUCGCGGGGUAUCGCCUCGU
rnacentral:miRNA from 1 species